rnacentral:rRNA from 1 species
GACGAACGCUGGCGUCGUGCUUAACACAUGCAAGUCGAACGGAAAGGCCCUGCUUUUGUGGGGUGCUCGAGUGGCGAACGGGUGAGUAACACGUGAGUAACCUGCCCUUGACUUUGGGAUAACUUCAGGAAACUGGGGCUAAUACCGGAUAGGAGCUCCUGCUGCAUGGUGGGGGUUGGAAAGUUUCGGCGGUUGGGGAUGGACUCGCGGCUUAUCAGCUUGUUGGUGGGGUAGUGGCUUACCAAGGCUUUGACGGGUAGCCGGCCUGAGAGGGUGACCGGCCACAUUGGGACUGAGAUACGGCCCAGACUCCUACGGGAGGCAGCAGUGGGGAAUAUUGCACAAUGGGCGGAAGCCUGAUGCAGAAACGCCGCGUGCGGGAUGACGGCCUUCGGGUUGUAAACCGCUUUCGCCUGUGACGAAGCGUGAGUGACGGUAAUGGGUAAAGAAGCACCGGCUAACUACGUG